rnacentral:rRNA from 1 species
UCGAUAACGAACGAGACCUCAAGAGGGUGUUCUGUGCCUCCUUCUUAAGGAGUGUCUAUGCGCCCUCGACUAUCGGUUCUAAAGCCGAAGGAAGCUUGAGGCAAUAACAGGUCUGUGAUGCCCUUAGAUGUUCUGGGCUGCACGCGCGCUACACUGAUGGGGGCAAAGAGUGGGACUUGGCCUGGCUCGGAAGGGCUCGGGUAAUCUUGCGAAACCCCAUCGUGCUGGGGACAGAUCUUUGUAAUUAUCGAUCUUCAACGAGGAAUUCCUAGUAAGCGCGAGUCAUCAGCUUGCGUUGAUUACGUCCCUGCCCUUUGUACACACCGCCCGUCGCUACUACCGAUUGAAUGGCU